GAGUUUGAUCCUGGCUCAGGACGAACGCUGGCGGCGUGCUUAACACAUGCAAGUCGAACGAGCCUCAGACCUUCGGGUCUGUGGUUAGUGGCGAACGGGUGAGUAACACGUGAGCAACCUGCCCUUGACACUGGAAUAACAGCUGGAAACAGCUGCUAAUACCGGAUACGACCUUCGAUGGCAUCAUCUGGAGGUGGAAAGCUCCGACGGUCAAGGAUGGGCUCGCGGCCUAUCAGCUUGUUGGUGAGGUAACGGCUCACCAAGGCUUCGACGGGUAGCCGGCCUGAGAGGGCGACCGGCCACACUGGGACUGAGAUACGGCCCAGACUCCUACGGGAGGCAGCAGUGGGGAAUAUUGCACAAUGGGCGAAAGCCUGAUGCAGCAACGCCGCGUGCGGGAUGACGGCCUUCGGGUUGUAAACCGCUUUCAGUUCCGACGAAGGUAACCUGACGGUAGGAACAGAAGAAGGACCGGCCAACUACGUGCCAGCAGCCGCGGUGAUACGUAGGGUCCGAGCGUUGUCCGGAAUUAUUGGGCGUAAAGGGCUUGUAGGCGGUUCGUCGCGUCGGAAGUGAAAACUCAGGGCUUAACCCUGAGCCUGCUUCCGAUACGGGCGAACUAGAGGGAUGCAGGGGAGAACGGAAUUCCUGGUGGAGCGGUGGAAUGCGCAGAUAUCAGGAGGAACACCGGUGGCGAAGGCGGUUCUCUGGGCAUUUCCUGACGCUGAGAAGCGAAAGCGUGGGGAGCAAACAGGCUUAGAUACCCUGGUAGUCCACGCCGUAAACGGUGGGCACUAGGUGUGGGGGACAUUCCACGUUCUCCGUGCCGCAGCUAACGCAUUAAGUGCCCCGCCUGGGGAGUACGGCCGCAAGGCUAAAACUCAAAGGAAUUGACGGGGGCCCGCACAAGCGGCGGAGCAUGCGGAUUAAUUCGAUGCAACGCGAAGAACCUUACCUGGGUUUGACAUAUGCCGGAAAGCUGCAGAGAUGUAGCCCCCGCAAGGUCGGUAUACAGGUGGUGCAUGGCUGUCGUCAGCUCGUGUCGUGAGAUGUUGGGUUAAGU
rnacentral:rRNA from 1 species